GACGAACGCUGGCGGCGUGCUUAACACAUGCAAGUCGAACGGUGAGGCCCUGCUUUUGUGGGGUGCUCGAGUGGCGAACGGGUGAGUAACACGUGAGUAACCUGCCCUUGACUUUGGGAUAACUUCAGGAAACGGGGGCUAAUACCGGAUAUGAGCUCCUGCUGCCUGGGGGGGGGUGGAAAGGGUCUGGGGUGGGGGAUGGACGGGCGGCUGCUCAGCUGGUUGUUGGGGUAGUGGUUUACUACGGCUUUGACGGGUAGUCGGCCUGAGAGGGUGAGCGGCGACAUUGGGACUGGGAUACGGCCCGGACUACUACGGGAGGCAGCAGUGGAGAGUAUUGCAGAAUGGGCGGAAGCCGGAGGCAGCGAGGCCGCGUGCGGGAUGAUGGCCUUCGGGUUGUAUAACGCUUACGCCGGUGACGUAGUGGGAGUGACGGUAAUGGGUAAAGAAGCACCGGCUAACUACGUG
rnacentral:rRNA from 1 species